rnacentral:sRNA from 1 species
GGGCUGUUUCUGGAAAACAGAGUUGUUUUGGGAGUUAAAUGAGCUUAUUUAAGUCAAGCAGUCAGAACAGCACUUGACACUAGAUAAGGGCUUUGGAAGUGUUCACUAUUGUAGCUGUACUUUCUACUCUUUCUUUUCUUUUUUUCUUUUUUCUUUUUUUUUUUUUUACGGAGUUUCGCUCCUGUUGCCCAGGCUGGAGUGCAACGGUGCGAUCUCAGUUCACAGCAACCUCCGCCUCCCGGGUUCAAGCGAUUCUCCUGCCUCAGCCUCCCAAGUAGCAGGGAUUACAGGCAUGUGCCACUACAUCCAGCUAAUUUUUUGUAUUUUAAUUAGAGAUGGGGUUUCUCCAUGUUGGUCAGGCUGGUCUCAACUCCCGACCUCAGGUGAUCCACGCGCCUUGGCCUCCCAAGUGCUGGGAUUACAGGUGUGAGACACCACACUCGGCCUGUACUUUCUACAUUUUCUACAGGAGACAUGUAUUACUUGCAAGCUAACAUAAUGAGAAAUAUUUGUCCCAGCUGGCCGAGGAGGGCCUCAAGGAGACCGAGGGGGCAGGUAGCCCAAGGCCAGAGGACAGCGGAAUCGUGCCGCGCUUCGAAAGGAAAAAGCUCUGAUGCUUCUGCUUCUGCUGCUACUGCUGCUGCUGCAAGGUUGGAAAGGAGAGCUUGCCGAAGUGGGGCCUUCCUGAUUCUGGGGACAGGACUAAAGCCUGAGAGGAAGGAAAACCAAGCAGGGCACGUUGCUUGGGCUUGUUCCCAGAGACUCAGUGAAAUGCCCCUGAUAUGUCUCCAGGAGCCAAGUCACCCAGGUGUGUCCAGCCCACUGAGGGUCACCAACUCUCUGCCUGCUGACUCUUGUUUCUCUCAAACAAUCUUUCAAUUUGUUAUUCUCUCUUUUUCC